GAUGAACGCUGGCGGCGUGCCUAAUACAUGCAAGUAGAACGCUGAAGGAGGAGCUUGCUCUUCUGGAUGAGUUGCGAACGGGUGAGUAACGCGUAGGUAACCUGCCUGGUAGCGGGGGAUAACUAUUGGAAACGAUAGCUAAUACCGCAUGACAACAGUUAUUGCAUGAUAACUGUUUAAAAGGGGCAACUGCUCCACUACCAGAUGGACCUGCGUUGUAUUAGCUAGUUGGUGAGGUAACGGCUCACCAAGGCGACGAUACAUAUCCGACCUGAGAGGGUGAUCGGACACACUGUGAAUGAGACACGGCCCAGACUACUACGGGAGGCAGCAGUAGGGAAUCUUAGGCAAUGGACGGAAGUCUGACCGAGCAACGACGCGUGAGUGAAGAAGGUUGUCGGAUCGUAAAGCUCUGUUGUAAGAGAAGAACGAGGGUGAGAGUGGAAAGUUCACACUGUGACGGUAUCUUACCAGAAAGGGACGGCUAACUACGUG
rnacentral:rRNA from 1 species